UACGGAGGGUGCAAGCGUUAUCCGGAUUCACUGGGGUUAAAGGGUGCGUAGGAGGGCAGGUAAGUCAGUGGUGAAAUCUCCAAGCUUAACUUGGAAACUGCCGUUGAUACUAUCUGUCUUGAAUAUUGUGGAGGUGAGCGGAAUAUGUCAUGUAGCGGUGAAAUGCUUAGAUAUGACAUAGAACACCAAUUGCGAAGGCAGCUCACUACUCAAUCAUUGACUCUGAGGCACGAAAGCGUGGGGAUCAAACAGG
rnacentral:rRNA from 1 species